UACGAAGGGGUGCAAACGUUUGCUCGGAAUUAUUGGGCGUAAAGCGCACGUAGGCGGCAUUGCAAGUCGGAUGUGAAAUCCCUCGGCUCAACCAAGGAAGUGCAUCCGAAACUGCUGUGCUUGAGUACUUAAGAGGAUCGCGGAAUUCCCGGUGUAGAGGUGAAAUUCGUAGAUAUCGGGGAGGAACACCAGUGGCGAAGGCGGCGAUCUGGGAAGAUACUGACGCUGAGGUGCGAAAGCGUGGGGAGCGAACAGG
rnacentral:rRNA from 1 species